UUGGGACGACCCAGGGAGAUACACGGAGACAGAAGUCUCCAUUGUGUGGUGGUGACUGGUAUGAGCGGUAAGCGGACAAGGAGAGCUUUCUCCCUGCUCUCAGGUCCUGGCCUGACCACAGAGCGAAUUACGCGCCUGGCUACUUCAGGGCAAGCUUGGGUAAAAGCCGCUUCAUGACCAGGUGUCUGUAAUAGCCUCUUCUGUUAUUAGAAGAGUCUGUAACGGCCCCGGAAAGGGCCAUUCAGGGGGCGAGACCUAGAAAGAAGGGAACAGAAAGGACAGCGUACUGUUUGUCCCCACAGCCGCACACCUGCCUAGAGAUCCUCUUGUCUUACCAAUUUACUAAAUUAUUUCAACAAACCUGUUGUUCCAAUUCUUCCAAUCACUUUUAAAUCUUUGCCACCACAUGGAUACUAGAAAAAAAAAAAUGUCUCAGCACCCUAAUCCACCGGGCAUGGCCAACCUGGUCCUGGGCAAGGCAAAGACUUAAAGUAACGUUCCCUUUAGUCCAUGCUGUGCACAGCAACCAAGCAGACUAAUAGUGUUUAGCAUUCUCUGCGUGAAGCUUACGGGCAGGGCCUCCGCAGUGCUGAGCAAAGAGCCAGAGGUUUCAUUAAACGUUAAGACCAACCCCGAUGACCCUAUUCAGAGCAGAGCAGUUAAAAGGGCUCUGAAGGCAAACUGCCUUGGUUCGAAUCCCAGCUCCAGAACUUACUAGCUGUGUGAUUUUGUGAAAUUUGCUUAACUUCUGUGUGCCUCAGUUUCCUUAUCUGUCAAAGGGGGCUACCAAAUGACAUCUACCUUAUGCUGGAAGGAUACGAGGAGUUAAAAGGAGCUUUGUGCUUGCUACUUAAUCUGGUACUCAGAAGGAGCUUUAUAAAAGUUUGUUAAAAUAGAGUUUUGUAUGUAAUGCCGUACACAGCUUGGAUUUAUUCACUCAGCACUGCCGGCUUCACGACAAGACGCCCGAAGAGUCAGUUGCACAGAAUACAACCAACACUGGGGAGCAGGGAACCUUGGGCCUUGUCCACACUCACCAGGAUGAUUCUGAAACCUAAUGGUAGCAGUGAGACUGCCGUUAAGUCGCUGACUGGUCGUGAUCUCCCGGUUCCACGAGUUCAAGUCCUACAUCGGGCGUCAUGCAGAUGGUGAGGAGGCUGCUUGGAAUUGUCUCUCUCCCUCCCUCUCUCUCUCAAAAUAAAUUAAAAAAAAAAAAGAAAGGAAGAAAGAAUCGUUGACUGAGUGAGACUGGGAAUGCCUGCACACAGCCCACUACUCAUGUCCAAUCUCUGACAACAGCCGUGCCAAACACAAAGAACUGCAAAUGAAAUUAUCUAAGACACACACACCAACCUCUACGCUGUUGUCUCCUGAGGCAAUCUCAAAUCUCAUUUAACAAUCUAUGGAGACCUAUUCAUUUGGGGAAAGAAACCUGCUCUUAAUCAAAGAAUGGGACUUCACCAUGAACUUCGGGCGGAUCCUUUAAAUGUCACUGCUUACGAAAUAGUCAUAACUGGGAAGAGAGUAGUGGGGAAACAGGGUCAUUCAUCACAGAGUGACCACAGGUUUCCAGCCGGUGCCACAAAGGAUUCCUCACUAUGAUGGGGGAAAAUAGGGUUGUCAUACCCAUCGUAUACACACCUAAAGUACUAGGUCUGAAGGAAGACUGGGAAAGCACUAAACACCAGCCACGACAUCAGCACAGAUAUAUUAAUGUCACAAAAUUCCACAGCAUUUGAAUCAUGUCAGUGGUUCACGUAACUGCCUUCUCCCUCUCUUCCCCCCCGCCGGCCAUCUCCCACCCAGCCCUGACACUGGCAACCACAAGCUAGCUGACGGUCCUCAUUCUUUGUCCCUUUGUUUGUGUCACAUGAGGUGUCCUCUCAGACCAAACAUUGUGGAGGGAGUAAAAAAGAGGCAAACACCACCAUAGUUUGGAAGGCUCUUUAAUAGCAAGCGUAUGGUAAUUACAUGGGUGGAUGAGAUCCUCUCUCGCAGGGGAGAGGGGCAGGUGCAGAUGCAGACAGGGAUCGGUUUAGGAUUUACACUGCCAGAGGCAUCUAAAACAAAGGGCAACAAUUUUUUGGCAACCCAUUUCACAGUUUUGUAAUGUACAAGAGAUUCCGCGGAAAGGAAAUAUAAAGGCAAAGAAAACAUACACACCUUGCAUGAAACGUUUCUGCCUAAGGAAAAAGAAACCCAAAACUGUUCCUUGAUUUUGCUUCUCAAGUAGAUGACUCAACUCUGCUCUCACACACCAAUUAAGACUGGCCCACAGAUAGUGUCGGAUUUUCCCCAGGGUGGACGAUUUGCUUUCUCCUCUAAAAAGCCGACAGGGGUGCACGGUACUGCUCUGUGUCUUUAUCCAUCUGGCUCUCAGAAGGUACUUAAAGAAUGACUCUUCAGCAACAAAAACGAAACAAAAGAAAAAACCAGGGAAAGGCAGUUUUACAAAGAACAGACUAUCCGCCUUCUCUGCAGUACCGAAGAAUUUGAAUCCAGUUCUCAGUAAAUUAAAUGUUUAUUUUCGUGUGGCCCGGCGCACGCUCUCAAUGGCUUGGGCCCAUUCGGCCACACAGUGCUUUACAUGAGGCUUCUAACAUGUAACGCUCACGGGCCCUCUAUUUUUAUAAUACGCAUUUAAAUAAAAAUAUCGACGACAACAUAUUAUUUAACAAUUUGUCCGGGGAACACAAGCUAUAGAUAUUUUGCCAUGGACACGACGUUGCCAUGGACACCAGAGGCUCCCGGCAUUCUGGCAAGUUUCAGAUAUGCUGUAGAGAAUCUAAGCCACUUCAGCCUUUCGUGUCAUACCUGGUGUCACAAAACCAAGAUAACUAAUUGGGUCUUUGUGGAAGAGGAUGAGUUUUUAAUUAAAAACACAAAACAAAACAAAAAACUCUCAGGCUUCUCUGGUCAUCUGAAGCAAUAGGCAGGGGCACCUCUUCGGGGUUAACACUCAUUAUAGGGAAGAGGGAUCUGUGAGCCCCUUGGGAUUUCAUUGUGCUCUUUCUACCACCCUCAAGCACCUUGGAGUCAGUGGGCGGGCUCUGCCCUCCAGCCCCCGGCCGCCUCCACACUGAGGGCAAGAUCCAGUCUGGUUCACGUUCCGCCUGCCAGGUGAUGAGAGCCCCCCGAUCCGUUGGCACUUUGGGAAGACAGGCUUCUCUGGCUGACGGCUGGCUUAUUGAGGAAAACCCCACCGUAUUUGCAGGACGCGCCCGCGGUCUCCUUGGCUGGGGGGCAUCUGUAAAGCCACAAAGCCACCCCCGACACAGGCCUCGCCUCUCAACAUUCAGGCCAUCCCUUUGAGGAAAGCGGGCUCCUAGCGUGAAUGCCAUGAAGACAGUUUUCCUAUACCUUACGUGAUAACUGCCUUCGGGCUUUUUCUUUUAAGAAUCGGACUCCCUAACUCUCCCAUUCUCCCUCUCUCAUCUCCUCCCGCCCCAGAUUAAGUCCCGCCUGUUCCCAUGUGCCUCUCGAACCGUGGGAAAUCAGAUGUGUUCAUACCGGUUUCCCAACCUGUGAAUUUUCACGUGCAAGGUAGAUUUCUAAAAUAUGAGUUCCGACGAUGCUCUGCAAGCACAGCCCCCCUAGGUCCAUCCGCUUUGUGCUCUUAGGAGACAGACACAACAGUUAGAGACGUAGUUGUGCUGGAGGAAAGGUUUCCGUUUGUAUGUGAAAAAUGACAGUAGCUACGAGAGGAGAGAGAUUUUUCACUGAAGGACACGAAACCUGGUUCUGGCAACCAGGACCCAAGGAGAAUUCCUAAAUCAAAGACUUUUCAUGUUCUAGUCACAUUAAAAAAAAAAAAAAAAAAAAAAAA